rnacentral:piRNA from 1 species
CUACACAGAGAAUUCCAGGACAGC